rnacentral:lncRNA from 1 species
CUCUCUCUGCAGCCGCCUUUCUCCACUGUGACAUCGGGGCCAGGUCACUCUCUGGGGUGGGGCCGACCUGGGCACUGCAGGGCGCUGAGUAGCGUCCCUGGCCUCCAUCCACUCCACGCCAGGAGCAUCCCCCAGUUGUGACAACCACACACAUCCCCAGACAGUGCCAGGUGUCUCCUGGGAGGGAGAACUGCCCCUGGUUGAGAAGGGCUGAUCUCCAGCUAUAAAGACCAAAGUCUGGCAGGGCAGGGGUCGCCCAGACUGCAGCAUAGUGCUGUGAUCUUGGCUCACUGCAGCCUCCACCUCCUUGGUUCAGGCAGUCCUCCCACCUCAGCUUCCCAAGUAGCUGGGAGUACAGGCGCGCCACCAUGUCCUGCUAAUUUUUUGUAGAGACGGGGGUUCCUCAUGUUGCCCAGGCUGCUCUCGAAGUCCUGGCUGAAGAGGUCCUCCCACUUCAGCCUCCCAAAGUGCUGGGAUCACAGGAGUGAGCACCUGGCCCCCGCAUCUUGCUGUGUAUUUGGAAACACAGACUCGGGACUCACUCUCUUGCCCAGGCUGUAGAGCAGUGGCUCAAUCAUAGCUCACUGCAGCCUCGACCUACUGGGCUCAUGGGAUUCUCCCAAAGCACUGGGAUUAAAGCAUGCUUGCCCAGCCAGAGUUUAAAACAACAUCGAAAUGGGCUCAUGUCUGUAAUCCCAGCACUUUGGGAGGCCGAGGCAGGAGGGUCACUUGUGGCCAGGAGUUCAAGACCAGUCUGGGCAAUAUGGAGAGACCCUAUCUCUACACAAAUAAGCAAAUAAAUUAGCUGUGCAUGGUGGCUCACGCCUGUGGUCUCAACUACUCGGGAGGCUGACGUGGGAGGACAGCACCAGUACACUCCAGGCUGGACAACUGAGCAAGACCCUGACUUGAAAAUACAAUAAACAAAUGAAUGGGCCAAUGCUAUGUUUAUUUUAUUUUUCUUUUAUUUUGAAAUGGAGUCUUGCUGUCGCCAGGCUGGAGUGCAGUGGCAUGAUCUCGGCUCACUGCAACCUCCGCCUCCCGGGUGCAUGUGAUUCUCCUGCCUCAGCCUCCUGAGGAGCUGGGACUACAGGCGUGCGCCACCAUGCCCAGCUAAUUUUGUAUUUUUAGUAUAGAUGGGGUUUCACCAUGUUGGCCAGGAUGGUCUUGAACUCUUGACCUCGUGAUCCGCCUGCCUUGGCCUCCCAAAGUGCUAGGAUUACAAACGUGAGCCACUGCACCCAGCCCAUGCUAUGUUUAUUUUCUACAACCACCCCUCCACUACAUGAAUAGUGUUGUACUGUGGGGAUACUCCCAUUCAGUACACCAUUGUGGAUUUCACUUUGCCACUGCAAAGCAGCCAAAUAUCAUUCUUUAAUCACUCCCUUACUGAUGGACAUGUCCAGUUUCCAUUACAGUAGAACAAG